UACGAAGCAUUGAAGAAGAUGUAGUACUAUUUGCCCAAUGAUGAAUAGAGAACUUGUGGUUGGUGAAAACAAGUAUCAAGGUAAAUAGGAAUUGGACUUUGGAGCUUAUUUAAUGAAGUGAUCUUGUGUACAAUGCAAGAUAAUAAGGGUGGCAACGCGGUUCAUUCGUCCCUAGA
rnacentral:ncRNA from 1 species